GGACUACUAGGGUAUCUAAUCCUGUUUGCUCCCCACGCUUUCGCGCCUCAGUGUCAGUAUCAGUCCAGGUAGCCGCCUUCGCCACUGGUGUUCCUUCCGAUCUCUACGCAUUUCACCGCUACACCGGAAAUUCCUCUACCCUCUACCGUACUCCAGUCGUCCAGUCCUAAAUGCCAUUCCCAGGUUAAGCCCAGGGCUUUCACAUCCAGCUUAAACAACCACCUACGCGCCCUUUACGCCCAGUAACUCCGAUUAACGCUCGCACCCUCUGUAUUACCGCGGCUGCUGGCAC
rnacentral:rRNA from 1 species